CAGCUUGGUUUUCUCUUCAUUCACGUACAAAUCUUUUGUCUUUUACUAAAGAUUUCCGUGGAGAGGAAAAUUGAAGAGUUCUCUGUAUUUUUGGAAGCUCUGCCAAGGCAGUUUU